CCUCCCUCCUUUACUCUUUUUUCUCUUCCUAUUAAGUUUUUACAGAUUUUUUUCUUUUUUCUUUUACUUUUUUUUAUCUAUAUAUACAUUUAUUUCUCUGUUCUAUUGGCUCCAUAGCAAAAGGGCUUGAUAUCCAAAUAAAAAAAAAAAAAAGUUUCUUACUUUUCUUCAACCUCUUGUUGAUCUUCUGAAAUUUAGGGUGGAAGAAGAAGAAGAUGAAGAAGAAGAGUGGGCAGGCGUUAUUUGCGGGUGUAGCAUCUUCAAGAUUCACAACAUAUGCAAAUAUUAUCGAAAUAAAAAUAAUAUGAUGCUCAAAAAUCUCAACUUGAGAAUCUUGAUGAUGCUGCAUCAGCAAUCAAACGACUAUUAUUAAUCACUACAACACUCACCCAAACAAAAAAAAAAAAGAAAAAAAAAAACAUUAUCAUUAUUACUAUUUCUUCUUACUCACUGCCAAUUCAUCAACUUAAUUGCCCAAAGUCCGACGAUUCUCUCUGUCUUCCUUCUUCCUUCUCAUAUCCUUCAGGUGGGUCUCUCUCUCUUUCAUCUUUCUGUAAUUUUCUUACUUUUGCUAGGGACGAACACACCAUAGAUUGAAAAGCCAACCGAAUCAAAAGUGGUUGAUGGUCAAUUGAAGAUAAAGGGGAGAUUCACUAGGUGUCGGUUUGUACUCUCUCAAAGUCGAAGUCGAUUUUAUUGUUUACUAAACCGAUCAUAAUAGUAUUGAGUUAAUUAGAAAAUCGACUUUGACCAACCAAAGUUCAAUCGCUAACUUUUAGAACUAGUAAAGAAGUAUCUAUAGAUCAUUUUUAAAGAAUUUCAAAUAUAGUAGAAUGUGUUCAUUGAUAUAUCCUAUAUUUAAAGUAUUUCUUUUUUACAUUGCUUCA